AGGACAAAAAAAAACAGGAGUUGAAGCAUGUUUGGUUGCCUUGAAGAAAGUGAGUCUCAAGUAACUUUGGACCACUCACAUAAACUAUGUUCAAAUAUUGUAAAAAAAAAUAUUGUUUAAGUAUCCUAAUAAAAAGUAUCCUAAUAAAAACACUGAACAACAGAGAAUACGUCUGUUCAAAAUUUAAAAUACGUAUAAUCCCUUGCGUGUUAGGGUGUUAGCAGAUAAACAGGCCGUUGUCGUUGCUUCAAAACAUUUCGUCGUUGCUUCAAAACAUUUCGUCGUUGCUGAUGAUAACUGUUUAAAGAAUUUUUCUUAAUCUUGUUAUAUAUGAACGCAUUAGUAAAUUUAUAUAUUUUACUAAUUUUGCCUGUGUAAACAUCUCAGUAUUUCACAUAAUUACUAGGCUAAGCACGCUUAACCAUGGAGUACUUAUGAGUUAGGCUACCGAAAAACAAAUGCAUUUGUUGAUAUGAGUAGCCAAAUUAAUUCCUUUAAGCUAUCCUUCCACUGGAUAAGCCUGUCAGGAGUCGUUACUUGUUUGUCCCCCUACACCAUGCCUCUUGCACCGGCGAUUACUCCCCGCCUUGUCACAUGCCUCUUGCACCACAUACUAGGAGGCUAGGCUCUGAUACCAUUUGUAACGCCCACACACUUUCCUACCGUCUCUAGAUCCCUCUCUUUCCUGUGUAUGUUCGAUUCGUCCUAUCCCUUCGCCAGUGCCCGGGUGGGGGUGGUGUCACGUGCACUUGGCCACCACCUGCAUGUCUGCCCCUUCUAGCAUAUAUAGCUCACACCAUAUUCAAAAUCAGCGCGCAUAUUACAAAAAACCAGCCAACAACAAUAUUCACCGUGAAAACAGAGAUCAAGGGACACAUGUGGCAAGGCAGAAUUGCCCUUAAAAACAUGUGCCUCCGAUCAUAUAAUCUAGAAGGCCAGCAAACUGCAACAUAGAGAUAAAACAGCAUUGUGUUUGCUGAAGACUAACGAUGGUUGAAACCACUAAAAUAGGAAAACGAGGAAAAAGGAAGUGGAACUCUUUGGGACCAAAAUCUCCAAUUUUGCCUUAGCUCUCUUCAAAUAUUCUAAAGGAUCUGAAAAGUUGCUUCUGUGGUAAUAUGUUGGCAGCAGAAUCAUACCAAUUUUGUUACCCCACCUCGCUCCUGAAUUGCUUCUAUGGUAAUAUGUGGACAAUUCCUGAUCAAUAAAAAUAGUUCAUUUUUAUCCUACCUCAGUAAAGUUAUAGAUCGAAAACAGGUAGGUACAAGGCAAGAGCAGAGGGUUGCUUUCUUAAAUUACCUAUGUUACUCAUGCUCGUUAUCAACUCUUAAAUUACCUAUUUUGCUUAUAAUUUUGAUGCUAAAAUUAUGGUUCAUAUCCCUAAUUUUUUCUAUUUAAUCGGCAGAUUUGUAAUUUAUGCUAAACUACGUAUUUAUUUCCAUUUAGUUGUAAUAAUACCACAAAGAUACUCUCAUUUAUGUGAUAAGUAAUUUGAAAUUCCACCUAUCAUUAGAAUAUUAUAUCUUAAGGGUAGUCUACCUAUCGAUCGCCACAGUUCAUUACAAUCUUUAUAAACAAUAAGACUUAUUAUCUUAAGAAUAGAUCUGGGUCCAACAUAUCGCCAUAAAAAUAUAACAUUCAUGAAGAACUUACAAGUACAUUUCCACUACAUCUUUUUUGUGGAAGACAUUAACAUCAGCUAGGAUUUGGGGUUUGACCAUAUCAGGAAGAAAUUUUAACAAUUGACGUUUCUAAACCUUACAUAUGUUCCCUACAACCAGAAUGAAAACUUCCAAAUUUGAAAAGAUAAACUGACUUUUUUUAUUUACUAGAGUUUUUCUAAUAUUUGCUUUUUGUCAAGAAAAGGGGGUUGUGGAAAAUUGGAUCAUUAAACAUGUGAUAAAAAAACGAACAACUUUUUCACCAUAAAUUGUCAAAGUUAAGCUAAUAAUCAUUAUAUAUUAUGGUAUGGGUCAGUCAAAAUGUAAGAUCGGACAACAAUAUAAAAUUUAUCAAUUUUCAACAAAAUAAUAUAUAACCAUACAAUAUUGAUCUGUUUGAAAUAAAUUGAUGAAAUUGUUCAUCGGAGGGGGGAAAAGGUAACUAUGAAACUGUUAAAAAAAAAAAAAGAAGAAGAUGCCCGUAAUAUAAAAGCAGAAAUAAAAAAGAAGUAUGAAGAAAGGUGAACUAUUGCAUGAUGUUUUAAUAUUGUUUCCGUGAAGAAAUCCGAGUUAUAGAAAAGUAGGAGUUGUCAAUUUAGGAUGCCUAACAUGAGGAGGGUGAGGGAGAAUAAUUUGAUUUGGUCUAUAGUAAAUAAAAGAAGAAAAGAGUGAGGGACAAGAAAAGGAAAAUUUACCAAAUUAACAGCAGUCUUGACGGUCUUGAAGGGAGAAAGUGGCAGUGGCAAUUUUGCGGGGCCAGAGUUCAACGCCAGCGCCACCAGUGAUGGAGGAUUUGGGGUCACGAACCCAGAAACUGCCACUGCCACCGGCGAGGAGAUUCCAGAAAUUGAAGGGAGGGUAAGAGAUACUUGAAGGAGAAGCGAUGGC
rnacentral:lncRNA from 1 species